rnacentral:rRNA from 1 species
CGUACUGAGACACGGACCAGACUCCUACGGGAGGCAGCAGUGGGGAAUCUUGCACAAUGGGGUCACCCCUGAUGCAGCCAUGCCGCGUGGAGGAAGACACCCCUAUGGGGCGUAAACUCCUUUUCUGAGAGAAGAAGCCCCUGUAGGUUCAGGGCGUGACGGUAUCUCAGGAAUAAGCACCGGCUAACUCCGUGCCAGCAGCCGCGGUAAUACGGAGGGUGCAAGCGUUGUCCGGAAUCACUGGGCGUAAAGGGUGCGCAGGCGGGGCAGCAAGUCGGAGGUGAAAGCCCGUGGCUCAACCACGGAAGUGCCUUCGAAACUGUUGCUCUUGAGUCCCGGAGAGGUUGCCGGAAUUCGUGGUGUAGCGGUGAAAUGCGUAGAUAUCACGGGGAACACCAGAGGCGAAAGCGGGCAACUGGACGGGUACUGACGCUCAGGCACGAAAGCGCGGGGAGCAAACAGGAUUAGAUACCCUGGUAGUCCGCGCCGUAAACGAUGAAUGCUCGCCGUUAUCCCGCUUAAGGGAUAGUGGCUAAGCUAACGCGUUAAGCAUUCCGCCUGGGGAGUACGAUCGCAAGGUUGAAACUCAAAGGAAUUGACGG